rnacentral:rRNA from 1 species
UUCCUACGGGUGGCUGCAGUGGGGAAUCUUGCGCAAUGGGCGAAAGCCUGACGCAGCAACGCCGCGUGGAGGAAGAAGGCCUUCGGGUUGUAAACUCCUGUCAGGGGGAAAGAAGGCACCUGGGUGAAUAGCCCAAGGGCUGACGGUACCCCCAGAGGAAGCCACGGCUAACUACGUGCCAGCAGCCGCGGUAAUACGUAGGUGGCGAGCGUUGUCCGGAAUUAUUGGGCGUAAAGAGCGCGUAGGCGGCUUGUCAGGUCCGACGUGAAAUCCCGGGGCUCAACCCCGGACGUGCGUCGGAAACCGGCUUGCUAGAGUCUGGGAGAGGGAAGUGGAAUUCCUGGUGUAGCGGUGAAAUGCGCAGAUAUCAGGAGGAACACCGGUAGCGAAGGCUGCUUCCUGGAACAGUACUGACGCUGAGGCGCGAAAGCUAGGGGAGCAAACAGGAUUAGAUACCCGGGUAGUCCC